rnacentral:rRNA from 1 species
GACGAACGCUGGCGGCGUGCUUAACACAUGCAAGUCGAACGGAAAGGCCCUGCUUUUGUGGGGUGCUCGAGUGGCGAACGGGUGAGUAACACGUGAGUAACCUGCCCUUGACUUUGGGAUAACUUCAGGAAACUGGGGCUAAUACCGGAUAGGAGCUCCUGCUGCAUGGUGGGGGUUGGAAAGUUUCGGCGGUUGGGGAUGGACUCGCGGCUUAUCAGCUUGUUGGUGGGGUAGUGGCUUACCAAGGCUUUGACGGGUAGCCGGCCUGAGAGGGUGACCGGCCACAUUGGGACUGAGAUACGGCCCAGACUGCUACGGGAGGCAGCAGUGGGGAAUAUUGCACAAUGGGCGGAAGCCUGAUGCAGCAACGACGCGUGCGGGAUGACGGCCUUCGGGUUGUAAACCGCUUUCGCCUGUGACGAAGCGUGAGUGACGGUAAUGGGUAAAGAAGCACCGGCUAACUACGUG